AUCCAAGAGAAGAGAUAAAAGAGAAAUAGAUAUUUCUGUCCUAAGAUUCCAGAAUUUUUAAUUUUAAGUUGUUACCAAAUUGGUGCCCUAGAAUGAUUGCACCCAUUUAUAUUCCUACUAGUAGUGGAAGUGCAAUAACGUCCAUCUGGUGGACAAAAAAAAUGUAUCAGUAUUUUAUCUCUGCCCUCCAUUUGUUGAGUUUCUCUUUCUGGGGCUCCUAUUGAUUGGGUGACCUGGAGGUCCUGUAUGUUAGCUUUCUUUCACAGGCUCUUUUAGUCUUUUUUAAUUUUACAGUGUGGGAUUAUUUCUUUGACUUUCUCAUCUAGCACUUUUAUUGAUUUAAUUUUUCAUUUUGAUAAUCUUGAGGUUUUUUUUUUUUAACUCAUCCAUUCUGGUAAAUUUCAAACAUAGAAGUAGAGGGAAUGGUAUAAUGAAUCCAUUCAGCUUUAAGAACUGUCAACAGUUUUCAUGUAUAACUUCAUUCUCUCCCCCAACCAACCUUCAAAUUAUUUUGAAGUUAAUCCCAAACAUAUUAUUAUAUAUACACAUUUUUCAGUGUCUAAAGGACUCUUAUAUUACUUUGUAGUUAUUUACCUUGUUUUUUCAGUUUAGUAUGUGUUAAGUAUGUUCACUUUGCUGUGCAACAGAUCUCCAGAAGUUUUCCGUCAUGCGAAACAAACUAUACCCACUGAAAAACAACCCCAUUCUCCCCAUCCCUAACCCUUGCCAACUACCAUUCUGAUCUUUGUUUCUAUGAGUUUGACUACUUUAGAUACUUCAUAGAAGUGAAAUCCUACAGUAUUUCUUUGUGACUGGCUUAUUCCAUUUAGCAUAAUGUCCUUAAACUUCAUCUUUGUGCUGUAUGACAAGAUCUCUCUCCUUUUAAAGGCUGAAUAUUUCAUUGCAUGUACAUACCACAUUUUAUUCAUUUAUCCCUCAAUGAACAUUUGAGUGGCCUCCACCUUUUGACUAUUGUGAAUAAUGCUGCACUGAACACAGGAGUAUUAAUACCUCUUCCAGAUCUGGCUCUCGAUUCUUUUAGGUAAAUACUCAGAAGUGGGAUUGCUGGAUCAUAUGGCAUAACUUUGUAUUUUUCUUUUUUUGAGGAACCUCCAUUACAUUUUCCAUAGCAGCUGCACCAUUUUACGUUCUCACCAAGGGUUCCAAUGUCUCCACAUCCUUGACAACACAUUUUCUGUUUUGGGUUUUUAAUUUGUUUUUUGUUAUAGUAGCUAUCCUAACGGGUGUGAGGUGGUACCACACUGUGUUUUGAUUUGCAUUUCUCUAGUGAUUAGUGAAGUUGAGCAUCUUUUACACUGGUUAGCUAUUUCUGUAUCGUUUGAGAAAUAUCUAUGCAAGUUAUUUGUCCAUUUAUUAAUCAGGUUAUUUAUGUUCUUAUUGGGUUGUAGGAGUUCUUUCUGUAUUCUGAAUAUUUAACUCAUUAUUAGUUAUGCGAUUUGCAAAUAUUUUCUCCCAUUCUAUAGGUUGCCUAUUCACUGUUGAUUGUUUCCUUUGAUGUGCAGUCUUUUUUUAAGUUUGAUACAGUCCCAUUUGUCUACUUUGCUUUUGUUGCCUAUGCUUUUGGGUGUCAUAUCCAAGAAAUCAUUGCCAAAUCCCUUGUCAUGAAAACUUUGUUUUCUUCCGGGAAUUUUGUAGUGUAGGUACUAGUUUAAAUAUUUUUCUGUGUGAGACAGAGCGUGCAUAUGUGCAGGGCCAGGGCAGAGGGAGAGGGAGAGAGAAUAUCUUAAGCAGGCUCCAUGCUCAGUGCAGAGUCCAAUGUGGGGCUCAACCCCACCACUGAGAGAUCGUGACCUGAGCCAAAAUCAAGUGGGAUGCUUAACUACUGAGCCAUCCAGAUGCCUCUAGUUUAAGUCUUUAAUUUUGAGUUAAUUUUUGAAUAUGGCUUCACAGUUUUGCAUGUAGAUAUCCAGUUUUUCCAGCACCAUCUGUUAAAGAGACUGUCCUUUCCCCUGCUGUGCGUUCUUGGCACCCUGAUUGAAAAUCAUUUGACCCUAUACAUGAGGGUCAAGGCAUCCUUGCAUUCCAGGAAAAAAAUCUCUCUUGGUCAUGGUGUGUAAUCCUUUUAAUAUGCUGAUGAGUUUCGUUUGGUACUAUUUUGUUGAGGAUUUUUGCGUCAGUAUUCAUCAGGGAUAUUGGUCUGUAGGUUUUUUUUAUUAAGGUAUAAUUGACAUAUAACAAUAGUUUCAGGUGUGUAAGGUAAUGAUUUAAUAUUUGUAUAUAUAGUCUGUAGUUUUCCUGUAGUGUCUUUGGCUUUGGUAUUGGAGUAAUGCUGUCCUUAAGAAUGAGUCUGGAAGUAUUCCCUUCUCUUUGGUUUGUUAGAGGAGUUUGAGGAUUGGUGUUAAUUCUUCUUUAAAUGUUUGGUAGCAUUCCCCAGAAGCCAUCUGAUCCUGGGCUUUUCUUUGUUGGUAGGUUUUGAUUACAGAUUUAGUCUCCUUACUAGUCUGUUUCAAUUUUUUAUUUCUUCAUGAUUCAGUCUUAGUAUGUUGUGUAUUUCUAAGAAUUUAUCCAUUUCCUAUGGGUUAUCCAGUUUGUUGGCAUGUAAGUGUUCAUAGUAUUCUCUCAUAAUCCUUUUUGGGGUUUUUAAAAAUAUUUAUUUAUUUAUUUGUUUAUUUAUUUAUUUAUGAGACGGAGUGGGGGAGGGGCAGAGACAGGGGGAGACACAGAAUCCAACACAGGCUCCAGGCUCUGGGCUGUCAGCCAAGAGCCCAACAUGGGGUUCAAACUCACAAACUGUGAGGUCAUGACCUGAGCCAAAAUCAGUGCUCAACCAACUGAGCCACGCAGGUGACCCAAUCCUUUUUGGUUUUGUGGCAUUAGUUGUGAUGUCCCAGGUUUCAAUUCUGAUUUUAGUUAUUUAAAUAUUUUUUCUUUUUUUGAAAUUAAUCUAGCUAAAGGUUUUUAAAUUUUGUUGAUCUUUUCAACAAUCCAAUUCUUAGUUUUGUUGAUAUCCCUAUCAGGGUUUUUUCUAUUCUCUAUUUUGUGUAUGCUCUCAUCUUUAGUAUUUUCCUCAUGCUAACUUUUGAGUUUCUUUUUCUUUCUCUAGUUGAGAUGUAAAGUUAGAUUACUGAUCUGAGACUUUCUUAAUGUUUACACCUACAAUCUUCCCUGUUGGUACUGUUUUCACUUUAUCUCAUACAUUUUGGUGUGAUGUGUUUCCAUUCUCAUUUGUCUCCUGGUAUUUUCUAAUUUCCCUUGUGAAUUCCUUGACCAAAGAACUUGACUAAAUUGGUUUUUUUGAAUUCCAGAAAGUUGAACUCACAAAUCUGUUUCCAUUUUCUUUGUUAUUUAUUCCUUGGUUUUCCUCUAUGAUAGUUUCAGUGAGGUCUCUAGGCAGAGAUGAAGCAACUAUCUGUGCUCAGUCUGCAACCCUGAGCUGAGAUUUAACUGAUUCUUAAGGUUUCUUGAGCAUCUGUUUUAUAUAGAUAACCCACAUAGGACAUUUCUCAUUAACAAGAACGGUAGAGUGGCAUUGUGCUGAAAGGUAGGGGCUCCUGAACCAGACCAUCUGGGUUCCAAAUUUGGCUUUUCUCUUUUCUAGCUGAGACUUUGGUUAGGUAUGUUACUUACGUUCUUGUAUAUGAGUUUCUUCACCAAUCAAAUGAGAAUACUAAAAAUCCCUUAUGGAGUUAUUCAAAGAUGAAAUGAGUUAAUAUUUUUAAUGUACUUAGGUGAGUGAUUGGCAUAGAGUAAGAACUAUUCCAAUAUUUGGAAUUGAAUAAAUUUGAAUUUCAGAAAAUGAAAUGCAUCUGAGAAAGUGGCCCCUUGAAUUUGUCUCACUCAUACCUGGUACAGAGUUCCUCGAAUACAACAAGAUUUAAAACAUUUUUUUUUCUGCUUAGAGGUCAACUAAGUUGAGUGGUGACAAUUUUUGCACUUAAGUAGGUAGUUAAUAAAAAAAAUGAACUUAAGUAAGUUUGAAUGACUGUGUGUAUCCCUGACAAGACAUACAGGCGUCACAGUUGUGACUGAAAGGAAUUCACAGAAAGUCCGACUAACAGAGUCAAGAGGCACAACCUGGCCAAGGGAACACUCAAGGAAACAGAUUCCAAACGUUUGUUUCCUUUAUUUUUAUUAACCCUUGCAUUCGCACAAUAUUUCAGCCAAAGCUUGAGGAAAGUAAGAACCCGACCUAUUGAAAGCUCAACCAAAAGACUAAUAAAAUAGUCAGCCAAAGAUACAGUUCUACAAAAUUGCAAUAUUUUUUAAUGUCUGUUUAUUUUUGAGAGAGAGAGAGAGAGGCAGAGUGCAAGCAGGGGAGGGGCAGAGAAAAAGAGGGAGACACAAAGCCCGAAGCAGGCUUCAGGCCCAGAGCUGUGAGCACAGAGCCCGACGCGGGGCUUGAACUCACAAAUGCCCGGAACGGUUCCUUGGUGUCCCUUUGACCGUCAUGCCCCUGACGCUUCUGAAGGUUCCAGGCACUGAAAUUUGGAUGCUUUCCUUACCCCACGUGGGCUGCGGCACCUCAUUCGGGGCUGCCUCCUGCAAGCGUGCCCUCCUGCCAAGUGGAGACCCUCCACUUGGGCCGGACGCCCCAAGCCCGGCUGCCCUUGCCAUCGCAGGGACGCCACCUCACCCUGCUCGGGCUCCGGCACCCUGGCACCGGGGCCCCCACCCAGGCAGCACCCCUCACCCCACCGAGGCGACAGCACCUUGCGCUGGGCAGCCCCUCCACGGACACCCACCUCACCCUGCUCCGGUGCUGACAGCCUGCAAUGCGAACGUCGCGGCGCCCCACUCCCCGGGCAGCUGGUCUCACGCAGAGGCUGACUUGCUCAGGGGGAGAGGGAUCACGGGAAAAAGAACAAGCUUCGGAUGGUGUUCAGAAACGCGUUUUAGUAUCUGUCUGUACGUGAGUCGUAGCCGAACCACCUGACGAACUGAAGUCCUUUUACUUAAGCAGAAAGCACAAACCGUAAGCACAAAAGCGUUCUCGUUUACAUCAUGAAUCCCAAAGGAGUAUUUUGAAGUGUUAAAACGGGUGGUCACAUUUGACUGUGAUUAUUUUAAAAACAUGCGCAGAGAAUUCACUCAGUCUUCAACAUUUUCUAUGUAUACACAAAAAUGAAACCAAUAAAAAUUAUCGUGUAAGACA